CACCCAACUGGUAAUUGCUCGAUGUGUGGUAUUAGUACCAUUUGGUACUCAUCCUAUUGAACAUGAAUCAGAAUGAUUAAAUAUGAUGCAGACAAAGAGGUUCAUCUACAAGACAUAUAGAAAGAUUCCCAAUACAACAAGAACAGUACAGAUCCACAAUUUUCAACCAUUUGCAAGAGCAAAACAAGAGGAAGGGGAGCAGAUUCAGGGUGGAGGUACUGAAGCGACAUGGAUUCGGCAACAAUGGCAAGAAAAAUUCAAAAAACACAUACGGAAUUUCAAGUUUAAUAUAAAACAGGACGAAAAUACUGAUGCAAAAACAGGAAAGUGGACAAAUUUACCUGAGCAAAGAUGGACAAUUCUUCAAUCCAUUAUGCAUCAGAUGCAAAUAUAUCAUUUGGGUUACCCAAGGUAAAAUUAAGGCUCUAAGAUACACCAGGAGCAACAUCAAUCGGAACUAUCACCGGCGAGAAGGACGAAUUGCAGAUCUUAGCUUGAUCUUGAGCUCUUCACUAGCCAUUUUAGGGUUUCCUAAUCUUGGCUUUCUUUAUCUAGAACAUAUCUGGAUGAUGUUGUUGUUUUUACUUUUCUACUUAUGUUUUAAGACUCCUUUUAUUAAUAAUAAAUAAAUAGCCCGUGGGGCCUUGUUUAAAAAAAAUUGGCCAUUUUCUAUUAUUCUUUAGGUUUUAAUUUAUUUGUAUUAUUUUCUUUUUUA